UGGGGAGUCGUCUAAUGGCAGGACAGCAGACUCUGGAUCUGCCUGUAGGGGUUCGAGUCCUCUCUCCCCAGCCA
rnacentral:tRNA from 1 species